AUUGUGGAAACUAAAGCAGAUGCUAAAUAUCCGAUUGUUAGCGGGGCUAGCAUCUGUGCUAAAGUUACCAGAGAUAAAUACUUGCGAGAAUGGAAAUUUUCGGAAGAUUUACCUAAAGAGGAUAGAAAUUUUGGUCCAGGUUACCCGAGCGCGUCAACCACCAUUGCGUGGCUCCGAGCGAAUGUUGAUGAGGUUUUUGGCUUUCCCACUAUCGUGAGGUUCAGCUGGGACACUGCGAAGAAGAUUAUUGAGAGCUGCUGCAAGCGAGUAAAGUGGGAUACCGAAGAGGAGGAGAACAGAUCCCAUAAAAGAGCAAAAGUGGAAACUACUAAGCGGAAACGACCGGCUUUUUUUCGGGAAAGGCAACUGUCGAGCUUGCAUGAACUCGAAUUUUAGCUUAAUUUAACUGUACGAAACACCACCUUCUCUAUCAGCCUUAUA